GAGUUUGAUCAUGGCUCAGGACGAACGCUGGCGGCGUGCCUAAUGCAUGCAAGUCGAACGAACUCGACCUUCGGGUCAUAUGAGUGAGUGGCGAACGGGUGAGUAACACGUGAGAAACCUGCCCCGAAGUUCGGAAUAACUCAGGGAAACUUGAGCUAAUACCGGAUGGCCCCUACGAAUCGAGUGGUUUGUAGAGGAAAGAUUUAUCGCUUCGGGAGGGUCUCGCGGCCUAUCAGCUAGUUGGUGAGGUAACGGCUCACCAAGGCAUUGACGGGUAGCUAGUCUGAGAGGACGAAUAGCCACACUGGGACUGAGACACGGCCCAGACUCCUACGGGAGGCAGCAGCAGGGAAUCUUGCACAAUGGACGAAAGUCUGAUGCAGCGACGCCGCGUGGGGGAUGAAGGCCCUAGGGUCGUAAACCCCUUUCAGUGGGGACGAAACUGACGGUACCCACAGAAGAAGGUCCGGCCAACUACGUGCCAGCAGCCGCGGUAAGACGUAGGGACCGAGCGUUGUCCGGAAUUAUUGGGCGUAAAGAGCUCGUAGGCGGUUGCGUAAGUCGGAUGUGAAAGCUCAGGGCUCAACCCUGAGACGCCAUCCGAUACUGCGCUGACUUGAAUCCAGUA
rnacentral:rRNA from 1 species